rnacentral:lncRNA from 1 species
GGCACAACUUGGUUUUAUACACUUUAGGGAGACACAAGACAUUAAUCAAUACAGUAAGAAGUACACUGGUUUUGUCCAAAAAGGUGGGGAGAACUUGAAGCAGGGAGGGGUCUUCCAGGUCACAAGUAGGUGAGAGACAAAUAGUUGCAUUCUUUUGAGUUUCUAAUUAGCUUUUACAAAGGAGCCAAUCAGAAUAUGCAUUUACCUCAGUGAGCAGAGGGAUGACUUUGAAUAGAAUGGGAAGCAGGUUUGCUCUGAGCAGUUUCCAGCUUGAAUUUUCCUUUUAGCUUAGUGAUUUUGGGGGCCCAAGAUAUUUUCCUUUCACUUAGUCUAUACAUACGUCUCAUACCUCCCUCUUAAGAACUAGCAGCCAGGUGCAGUGGCUCAGGCCUGUAAUCCCAGAACUUUGGGAGGGUGGGGUGGGCAGAUCAUGAGGUCAAGAGAUUGAGACCAUCCUGGCCAACAUGGUGAAACCCCGUCUCUACUAAAAAAUACAAAAAAUUAGCCAGGUGUGGUGGUGUGUGCCUGUAGUCCCAGCUACUAGGGAGGCUGAGGCAGGGGAUUCACUUGAACCCAGGAGGUGGAGGUUGUAGUGAGCUGAGAUCGCACCACUGCACUCCAGCCUGGUGACAGAACAAGACUCCAUCAAGGUUGAUCUGGCCAUUGUCACCUCUGAAUGUCCAACGGUAAGUCACAAAGCUAUUUAUAUAUUUUUUCAACUUCAUGUCUAAGAAUUGGCUGAAAAGUGACAAUUCAGAACGGUUGAGUGAGAAAGAAUGAAAAAAAUCACAAUUCUGUGACAUAACUCGGGCUCCACACCCCGCCGGUCAAUGAUUUACAGAAUUAGAUACCAACCCAGAGAGGGAGAAAUUAGCCAAGACUGGCACUGAAAAAGGCAAGACUGCACAGUGAGAGGAAAUGGGACAGAUAGGACCAAUAAAGUAGGAGAAUUUCCAGGGAUGGUUACAGAUCACGACUCCACACUUGGUCACUGCACAGAUCCUGGAUGAACCACAGGAAGGAAGGGAACAGAAAAAGGCCCAGUUGGAACCCUCUGUGGUGUGAAUCAACAGGAAGAAACUCCAGGCACAAGAGUCAAGGCCCUAACUUUCAUCUGAAAAUGAUGCUUUCGUGGAAAAAGAGGCAGCAAAGCAAAAAAACAAUCUCCUCUCAAGAAUGACUACAUUAGCAUGCUGACACAAGAACAAAUACCCUUGCCACAAAGAAAUAAACUACAAUGGUGCCUUCCAUAGGGAUUGGUUCCAGGAACCCCCUUAGAUACCAAUAUCUGCAGAUGCUCAAGUCCCUGAUAUAAAGUGGCAUAGUAUUUGCACAUAACCUAUGCACAUCCUCCUAUAAAUCAUCUCUAGAUUAUUAGUAAUACCUACUACAAUGUAAAUACUACGUAAAUAGUUCUUAUACUGUAUUUUUACUUAUUUUUGUUUUAUCAUUUUUUAAUUUUUUCUGCCCUCCCACCCCAGAAUAUUUUUUCUUCUUUGUUGGUUGAAUCUGCUGAUGCAGAACCCAUGGAUACAGAGGCCAAGUGUAACUAAAAUCCAACGAAAAAAUGCCCAACAUUUCACUGUUUUUUUUUUUAAGAUUGAAAAAUAAAUUCACCUUCCCCAACCUGUUUUAAAAAAUACUUUAUAUCCUUAAGGAGCUCUGAACUUACAUAUACACCAGAGAUUUCCCAUAGAUACACAAUCUAUCAUUUACAUAGUUUAUGAGAAAAAAAGAUAUUUAAUAGUUAAAAAGGCAAGAAAAGAAAGGCAAGAUUUAAAUGUAGUGGUAACAAAUGUUUUUUGUGGUAAUAAAUGCUUUUUUCUUCCUCCCAGCUUUGUGGAAGUGUGGAGAUUCACAUUCAAAAUGAAGAAUUGUUUCGUGAAAUAAUUUGCAGAGGCUCAAUCAAGAGAAAUGAAAUUACUUAAAGAGCAAUUUCAACAUAGUGAAAGCCUGCUAGGGAGGUAGAUGCAGGUUUCUUAGUCAUCAAAUGCCAUGCUGACCCAGAUUCAGGGCAGAGUGAGCACCAAGCAUUUUGAAAGCUGAUCGAAUGGAGAGUCUAUUUUAAUUUUUUUAAGCUGCCAUUUCUUUAAAAAAAAAAAAAAAAGAAAGAAAGAAAGCCCCAGGGCAUGCAAAGAGUAAAAUAUACUGAUCAUUAAAAUAUUUAAAUUCACCAACAGCAGUGGUUAAUAAAACAUCAAAAUGAAAGUUUACAAAAAUUAGUCUCAACUUGUUUAAAGUAGCACACUCACCAAUGCAUGCGAUUUGUUAAUCAUGAUGGAGAUCUCAGAUGCUUUUGAAGAGGCUGAACUGAUAUGAGAAAGUCUUAACCAGUUGUUGCUUCUUUGAAGAAGAAGGAAGGGGCCACAAGCCAAGGAAUGUGGUGGCAUCUAGACACUGGAAAAAGCAAGAAAAUGAAUUCUCCACUAAAGCAUCCAGAAACACAGCUCUAAAGAUCCCCAGUUUUAGUCCAGUAUGACCCAUGUUGGACUUCUAAACCAUAGAAUUGUAAGAUACUAAAUUUAUGCUGUUUUAAACCAUUAUGUUCAUGAUAAUUUGUUACAGUAGCCAUAGAAAUCUAAUAAAAUUGAGA